rnacentral:rRNA from 1 species
GGGGGGGGGGGGGGGGGGGGGGGGGGGGGGGGGGGGGGGGGGGGGGGCGGGGGGGGGGGGGGGGGGCGGGGGGGGGGGGGGGGAGGGGGGGGGCGGACAUCGGGAUCUACAUUUGGGGGGGGGCUCACGUCGGGGAACUUACGCUAAUACCGCAUCCGCCCUACGGGGGAAAGCGGGGGGUCGUCCGACCUGGCGCGAUUGACUGCGCCGCUGACGGCUUAGCUCGUUGGCGGGGCCACGGCCCCCCAAGGCGACGAUCCGUAGCUGGUCUGCGAGGCUGAUCAGACACACUGGAACUGAGACACGGUCCAGACUCCUACGGGAGGCAGCAGUGGGGAAUAUUGGACAAGGGGCGCAAGCCUGAUCCAGCCAUACCGCGUGGGUGAAGAAGGCCUUCGGGUUGUAAAGCCCUUUUGUUGGGAAAGAAAAGCAGCAGGUUAAUACCCCGCUGUUCUGACGGUACCCAAAGAAUAAGCACCGGCUAACUUCGUG